UACAGAGGUCCCAAGCGUUGUUCGGAUUCACUGGGCGUAAAAGGUGCGUAGGUGGUCGGGUAAGUCUGAUGUGAAAGCUCUGGGCUCAACCCAGAAAUGGCAUUGGAUACUAUCUGGCUAGAGGAAUGGAGGGGGGACUGGAAUACUUGGUGUAGCAGUGAAAUGCGUAGAUAUCAAGUGGAACACCAGUGGCGAAGGCGAGUCCCUGGACAUUUCCUGACACUGAGGCACGAAAGCUAGGGGAGCAAACAGG
rnacentral:rRNA from 1 species